CUCUUAGAUGUUCUGGGCCGCACGCGUGCUACACUGAGUAAUUCAAUGGGUAAGGGAACGCUAGAGCAUUACCUAAUCUUGAAAUUUGCUCGUGAUGGGGAUCGACGGUUGCAAUUUUCCGUCGUGAACGAGGAAUACCUUGUAGGCGCAUGUCAUCAUCAUGCGCCGAAUACGUCCCUGCCCUUUGUACACACCGCCCGUCGCUCCUACCGAUUGAGUGAUCCGGUGAGGCUCUGGGACCUGGACGGAAAGAGCGUUUCGCUUGUUCUGUUUGGGAAACUUGGUCGAACCUUAUCAUUUAGAGGAAGGAGAAGUCGUAACA
rnacentral:rRNA from 1 species